AGAACGAACGCUGGCGGCAGGCUUAACACAUGCAAGUCGAGCGCCCCGCAAGGGGAGCGGCAGACGGGUGAGUAACGCGUGGGAACAUACCCUCCGGUUCGGAAUAGCUCAGGGAAACUUGGAUUAAUACCGGAUACGGCCUAGCGGCGAAAGAUUCAUCGCCGGAGGAUUGGCCCGCGUUCGAUUAGCUAGUUGGUGAGGUAACGGCUCACCAAGGCGACGAUCGAUAGCUGGUCUGAGAGGAUGAUCAGCCACAUUGGGACUGAGACACGGCCCAAACUCCUACGGGAGGCAGCAGUGGGGAAUAUUGGACAAUGGCGCAAGCCUGAUCCAGCCAUGCCGCGUGAGUGAUGACGGCCUUAGGGUUGUAAAGCUCUUCGCGUAGGGACGAUAAUGACGGUACCUAGACAAGACGCCCGGCUAACUUCGUGCCAGCAGCCGC
rnacentral:rRNA from 1 species